rnacentral:rRNA from 1 species
AAUCAACGCUGGCGGCGUGCCUCAGACAUGCAAGUCGAACGCGAAAUUUCCCUUCGGGGAGAAAGUAGAGUGGCGCACGGGUGAGUAACACGUAGGUAAUUUGCCUUUGGGUGGGGAAUAACUCAGGGAAACUUGAGCUAAUACCGCAUAAUGCAGCGGCUCGACAUCGAGACAGUUGUUAAAGCGGGGAGUCGCAAGACCUCGCGCCUGAAGAGAAGCCUGCGGCAGAUUAGCUAGUUGGUAAGGUAAUGGCUUACCAAGGCGACGAUCUGUAACCGGCCUGAGAGGGCGGUCGGUCACACUGACACUGACAUACGGGUCA